rnacentral:rRNA from 1 species
AUUGAACGCUGGCGGAAUGCUUUACACAUGCAAGUCGAACGGCAGCACGGACUUCGGUCUGGUGGCGAGUGGCGAACGGGUGAGUAAUGUAUCGGAACGUGCCCAGUCGUGGGGGAUAACGUAGUGAAAAUUACGCUAAUACCGCAUACGAUCUAUGGAUGAAAGCGGGGGAUCGCAAGACCUCGCGCGAUUGGAGCGGCCGAUAUCGGAUUAGGUAGUUGGUGGGGUAAAGGCCCACCAAGCCAACGAUCUGUAGCUGGGCGGAGAGGACGACCAGCCACACUGGAACUGAGACACGGUCCAGACUCCUACGGGAGGCAGCAGUGGGGAAUUUUGGACAAUGGGCGAAAGCCUGAUCCAGCCAUUCCGCGUGCAGGAUGAAGGCCCUCGGGUUGUAAACUGCUUUUGUACAGAACGAAAAGGUUUCUACUAAUACUAGGAGCUCAUGACGGUACUGUAAGAAUAAGCACCGGCUAACUACGUGCCAGCCGCCGCAGUAA